rnacentral:tRNA from 2 species
GGUGUCGUGGUCGAGCGGUAAGGCGCAGCUCUGCAAAAGCUGUUACACUGGUUCAAUUCCAGUCGGCACCU